rnacentral:rRNA from 1 species
ACCGGUAGUUAUAUCGUGGAGGUCCCACCCGUUCCCAUCCCGAACACGGAAGUUAAGCUCCACCGAGCCGAUGGUACUGCGCUUUAGGAGCGUGGGAGAGUAGGCGCUGCCGGUU